rnacentral:rRNA from 1 species
GAUGAACGCUGGCGGCGUGCCUAAUACAUGCAAGUCGAGCGAACGGAUGAGAAGCUUGCUCUUUUGAUGUUAGCGGCGGACGGGUGAGUAACACGUGGAUAACCUACCUAUAAGACUGGGAUAACUUCGGGAAACCGGAGCUAAUACCGGAUAAUAUUUUGAACCGCAUGGUUCAAAAGUGAAAGACGGUCUUGCUGUCACUUAUAGAUGGAUCCGCGCUGCAUUAGCUAGUUGGUAAGGUAACGGCUUACCAAGGCAACGAUGCAUAGCCGACCUGAGAGGGUGAUCGGCCACACUGGAACUGAGACACGGUCCAGACUCCUACGGGAGGCAGCAGUAGGGAAUCUUCCGCAAUGGGCGAAAGCCUGACGGAGCAACGCCGCGUGAGUGAUGAAGGUCUUCGGAUCGUAAAACUCUGUUAUUAGGGAAGAACAUAUGUGUAAGUAACUGUGCACAUCUUGACGGUACCUAAUCAGAAAGCCACGGCUAACUACGUG